rnacentral:rRNA from 1 species
AGAGUUUGAUCCUGGCUCAGGACGAACGCUGGCGGCGCGCCUAACACAUGCAAGUCGAACGGAGCUUAGAGAGCUUGCUUUUUAAGCUUAGUGGCGAACGGGUGAGUAACGCGUGAGUAACCUGCCCUAGAGUGGGGGACAACAGUUGGAAACGACUGCUAAUACCGCAUAAGCCCACGGUACCGCAUGGUACUGAGGGAAAAGGAUUUAUUCGCUUUAGGAUGGACUCGCGUCCAAUUAGCUAGUUGGUGAGGUAACGGCCCACCAAGGCGACGAUUGGUAGCCGGACUGAGAGGUUGAACGGCCACA